UCGCGGCUUAUCACCGGCAGUCCCCUUAGAGUGCCCAACUUAAUGAUGGCAACUAAGGGCGAGGGUUGCGCUCGUUGCGGGACUUAACCCAACAUCUCACGACACGAGCUGACGACAGCCAUGCAGCACCUGUGCUCUCGCCCCUUGCGGGAAGGAAGCCAUCUCUGGCGACCAAACGAGGCAUGUCAAACCCAGGUAAGGUUCUUCGCGUUGCCUCGAAUUAAACCACACGCUCCGCUGCUUGUGCGGGCCCCCGCCUAUUCCUUUGAGUUUUAACCUUGCGGCCGUAGUCCCCAGGCGGGGUGCUUAAUGCGUUAGCUGCGGCACGGGAGGAGUCGACACCUCCCACACCUAGCACCCAUCGUUUACGGCAUGGACUAC
rnacentral:misc_RNA from 1 species